UUUUAAAAAAUUAUAACUAUUGAUUAUAACAUUAUAUAGGUUUUCGUUUGUGGGAGUACCAGUAAAUCAUUUAAAUAUGAACUUGUUAAAUAGAAUAAUUGAAAAUUCAUAUUUUACUUGGAAGAAAUAUUUAAUUUACAUUGUAACAUUUUUCUUCUUGUAGAUAGUCAUUCGAUACUUGAACUUGGUUAAUGAAUAUUUGCGUGUGCGUACACAUUACGCAGUCAACUAAUUAUUUCAAAUAACAUACUAAUAAUUGCAGGUUUGAAAUAAGUUAGAGACAAGAUAAACUCAAAUUUUAAAAUAAAAGAUAAAACUUGGAGAGUGUUGGGGAGAUUUCAAACAAAGCUUUAAAUAACCAUGGAAGAAGUUGAUUCAAUAAUAAUUGAUUCACUGAGAAAUAUUGAAUGUGAUGUUGACAUCGAAAUUCACAGUUUAAAAGAUUUUGAUUCAGAAUUAAUUUUUAAUUCGUUUGUAUAUUGCUUAGAAGUAAUAAAUCCUGAAAUAAAGUUUCCUCAUGGAUUGCCUCCUUCUAUGAGUCUACGGUUAAAAUUAGCAACGAAUAUUGCUGAAUGUAUAAAAGAUUUGGGUUAUAGAGGUGACAUGGGUUAUCAGACAAUUCUAUACUGUGAUGAAACAGAGUUAAGAAGGGUGUUAAUGUUUCUAAUUGAACGAAUUCCAAGGGAUAAUAAAGUUACUAACAAGGAAAAAGAAGAAGGCUAUGUUACUAAGUUAGUAAGACAGAUUGAGAAAAAGAUACAGGAAAGCUUGCAUAAACCAUGGGUACCAAGUGAACUAUUAAAAUUUGGAGUAGACGAUACAGAAAAAUUGAUCCUCCGUCAAAACUAUGGAGAAUGCUUUUCUUUUCACACUGAAGUUGUUAAAUUACCUAAAACUCUGGAACAGCAUUCAGAAAUACUGAAGAAUUAUUGGAUACAUAGUCUUCCAAAUGUCACAGAACAAUGUAGUUUUUAUAAGUUAGUACCAUCUUUGCUUUUUUCUGAUGCUAAAUUUUUACAAAAACAUUUACUAAUGAAUAAGUAUGAUGUUAUUAAAAACCUUGUGAAGGAAGAUACAUUAAAAAAAUAUGAAGAAUCAUCAGAUAAUAAUAUAGCAACUUUAAGGCAAGUUGCUAAUGAAAACAUUGAUGAAUAUGAACAUCAAACUGAAAGUAAAUUGCCAUUGGAGGAGGAGAUGGAAAGAAUUAUUCAAGAAAUAAAAGCAAUUAGUAAAAGUAAACUUGUUAUGGAGAAAGAAAUCAAGACUGCUGGAGCUAAAUUAUCACAAAUUAAAGAUGAUGUAAUUCAACAAGGUGAACUUUUAAAAGAAUCUCAAGCAAAAGUUCAGUUAAAGAAAAAAGCGCAGGCUGUACUUUCCAAACAAGAAAAUCUAAUUAAGUUGAAGAAAAUAGUUGAAAGUGGUUCUGAAAGGCUGGUAGAACUUGCUAACCAAUGGCAUUCUGUACAGACCCCAUUAUUAAAUGAAUAUAGAUCUUUGAUAAAUAAUCAUAGUGAUCAAGAAUUAAAGAUUUUGGAAGAAAAUGAAAAGUUGGAAAAGAUACAAGAGAAAAAUAAACAAAUUGUUAAUGAAAUUAAAGAAAAAGAACGAUUGGAACAGCAACUUUUGAAUGAAUUUGAAAGGAUAAAUAAAAACGUUAAUAGAUCAGCAUACACAAAAAGAAUAAUAGAAAUAAUUGCAAAUAUUAAAAAACAAGAAGAGGAUAUAAAGAAAAUUUUAAAUGACACUAGAGCUGUACAAAAAGACUUGAAUAAUUUGAAUGGGCAACUUGAGAGAUCGUUCACAUUAGCUGAUGAACUAAUUUUCAGGGAUGCAAAAAGGGAAGAAACAGCUAGAAAAGCGUACAAGUUAUUAGCAACUCUUCAUAGUGAAUGUAACCAAAUUGUCCAAACAGUAACUGAUUUGGGCGUAAUGGAAAGGGAAGCUAGAAAUUUACAAGACCAAGUUGACAUAGAGCUUAGUCGAGAGACAGCAUCUAAAUUAGAAAGAGUAUUAUAUGAUUUAUCAGAGGUGAAGAAGGAAAAUGAAAUUCUUGCCAAACAAAUUAGUAAACAACAAAUUAACUAAUGAAAAGAAAAAUUGUACUGUUUCUAUUUUUAAGGGGUACUGUAGUGUCCUUAACAAAAUGUAAUACUUAUAUUGAUGACAUGCAAUUGGUAUUAAAAAUUUCAAUAAAAAUGGGAAAAGAAUUGCAAGAAAACAGAUUCAAAAUGUAUUUUAAAUGACAAAAUUAUACACCUAACAAAUUAUUUAUGACUAA
rnacentral:misc_RNA from 1 species